GGGGGUGUAAAGGCUUCGACAGGGAUUGUAAGUCUUGGUAAGCGGGUAGUGGUGCGGAACCACUUUAAAAUCCGUAACUUUAAAUAAUAAACGACAACGAUAACGUAGUUGCAAUGGCUGCCUGAGUGCAGCCCGUCACAUUAAGAAGUACCACGGUCUUUUUGUUGGCGUGAAGAAGUGGUGAACGUGAACAGAGCAGUGUCUUGAGCUUUGUCAUGAAUUAAAGACUACCGUAGUAAUAAGCCUGUUGACUGGCGUGUUAUAAGGGGAAUCACAAAACAUCAACUACACUCGUAGAAAGCCUUGAUAAGCGAUUUCUGGACAGGGGUUCGACUCCCCUCACCUCCACCA
rnacentral:tmRNA from 1 species